AUGGGAAGAGCAGGCUUUUGCAGAACCUUCCGCAGGGAAACCCUCGGGAAAGCAGAGUUCACUAUGAGGAAUGGCUGUGCCCUGCCUUCCCGCACCGAGCCCCGACUCUGUGCCUCCCUGCCCGGGCUCAGGGUGUCGCGGAGGGACGCGGGGCUGGAUGGAGCCGGUGCAGGCCUGAGGGCGCUGAGGCGGCCAUCGCUGCGGCUGCGCCGGGGACACGAGAAGCGAGGGAGCCCGAGCUGCGGAAAGCAUACUCUGGGACGUCAGAGAGGAAGGGAAACUUUCUCAAGGAAGAAGUUGCUUCAGUUUCUACCCUGUGUACCCUCAUGUGAAUGGCUAGGCAAGGGGUUAUCAGCUGGUCUGGCUUCCCCUUCAGCAUCCCCCCCAGCUGCUGAUACCAGGGGGAAGUGGGAGAGAAACAGGGACAGCUUUACCAAAACACUCCUGACUUCCCUUCCUCUUCAACAUGUCCCUCCCUGUCUCCGCCUGGGAAACAAAAAGCUCUUCAAGCUUCACCUGUUUUUAGUGCAGAGGAGAAAAACAGAAGCACGUAUUUCCUAA
rnacentral:lncRNA from 1 species